rnacentral:rRNA from 1 species
ACGCUCGACACCUACGGGUGGCAGCAGUGGGGAAUAUUGCACAAUGGGGGAAACCCUGAUGCAGCGACGCCGCGUGAGCGAAGAAGUAUUUCGGUAUGUAAAGCUCUAUCAGCAGGGAAGAUAAUGACGGUACCUGACUAAGAAGCUCCGGCUAAAUACGUGUCAGCAGCCGCGGUAAUCUGAGCGGGCUGGCAAGGC